rnacentral:tRNA from 1 species
UUUGGAGUGCCAGAUUAUAUGGGUUUGAUUUAGGUUCAUAUUAAGGCGUGUUCGUCCUUUAAAG